ACGGGUGAGUAACACGUGGGAACGUACCCUUUGGUUCGGAAUAACGCUGGGAAACUAGCGCUAAUACCGGAUACGCCCUUUUGGGGAAAGGCUUGCUGCCGAAGGAUCGGCCCGCGUCUGAUUAGCUAGUUGGUGGGGUAAUGGCCUACCAAGGCGACGAUCAGUAGUUGGUCUGAGAGGAUGAUCAGCCACACUGGGACUGAGACACGGCCCAGACUCCUACGGGAGGCAGCAGUGGGGAAUAUGGGACAAUGGGCGCAAGCCUGAUCCAGCCAUGCCGCGUGAGUGAUGAAGGCCUUAGGGUUGUAAAGCUCUUUUGUCCGGGACGAUAAUGACGGUACCGGAAGAAUAAGCCCCGGCUAACUUCGUGCCAGCAGCCGCGGUAAUACGAAGGGGGCUAGCGUUGCUCGGAAUCACUGGGCGUAAAGGGCGCGUAGGCGGCCAUUCAAGUCGGGGGUGAAAGCCUGUGGCUCAACCACAGAAUUGCCUUCGAUACUGUUUGGCUUGAGUUUGGUAGAGGUUGGUGGAACUGCGAGUGUAGAGGUGAAAUUCGUAGA
rnacentral:rRNA from 1 species